AGAGUGGUAGGAGACAGAGAAUGAAUAUAUGGUCCUGUCCUUUAGAGGUUAAGGGGUGGGGGGGAAAUAGCAUUUCAAUGAGAUGAGUAUGAAUUUCAUAAAGAUGAUGAAAAACCUAACAGGCAUACUAUUCAGCUUGUCGAACAGCAUGACAUAUGUAAGCUUCAAAAUUGUUCUCAUCAUCCACAAGGGGACAGCACUGGCUGCCAGACUAGAAACACACAGUUUCCACAUGAAGAGGCAAAAUGAGAGCAGCCAUUGCUGCAGCUACCAAAACAGAGGUGAUAUUCCAUCUCUUCUUUGAAAUGGGGGGUCUAGAAAGAAGGAGUGACAAAGACCUCGAGAUAGAAGGCUGUCAGGUGCCAGAAAACAUGAAACGGUGGGAUAGGCUUUAAAUUUGAAGGUUAAACAUGCACACAACACACUCAAGUCAUAUGAAAUUGUGGAGAUGAAACAUAACAGAAAACAAUUGUUCAAACAGGUAUAUCAGUGAUCUAACAACUCUGUACAUGUGUGGAAGAAAAUUCUUCACACAAGAGGAAGCUGUUUUACUACAUUUUUCCUUUUGUUUUCUUUCAAUUAGCACAGCUCAAAUAAAUGUAGUCUAAAUUACUUUAAA